rnacentral:lncRNA from 1 species
AAAAAAACAGAAGCAUACAAAGUUAUUGCUAUGAAUUUAUGGCAUGUGUAGAAAAAUACAAAAACAUACACUAGUACUUGUUAUGAAUGUGUGGCAUGGGUAGAUAAAUACAAAAAACACUAGUACACAUUUGUGGUUCCAUAAAUUGCAGAACAAAAACACAAGUACAUAUUUUGUUUGCUUUCUCUCUCCCUACCUUCCUUCCUAUCUUCCUCCCUUCUCUCUCUCCAUCUGUAUAUAAAGAACACAAAUAUAUGUAUAAAGAACCACAACAACUGAUCAAACCAGAUUACCAAACAAAACCAAUAACAUAACUUAAUCGAUCAAACCAAUUUAUAAAAAACUCAAUCGAUCCAACAAAGAAUAAAACCAGAUUACCAAACAGAACCAAGACAAUUGAUGAAACCAAUUUAUAAAGAACCAAAACAUAACUCAUCUCUGUAAGGAAACAAAAACAGAACUCAAAGGCUUUGAUUAGGUUAAGAACAUAAUAUGUUGUCAAUUUAUAACAGAAACAGAACAUGUUGUCAUUAGGUUAAGAACAAAAACAGAAAUUGAACAUGUUCUCCAUUUAUAAAGAACCAAACACUGAACACAAAACAUUAAAACAUAACAUCAGAACAGAAACUGAUUAGGUUGACAACAUUUCAUUAAUUAACUUGUCUUUUCAAGCCUUCUCUGUUUCACUAAGAGGAUCUAUUUUUGCAAGUAGAUUUUCAAGUAUAGUAUGCUUACUUUGAUUCUCUUGCAAAGCAAAGGCCUUCUAUCUCAACUCAUAAUCUUUUUGCUUCAUAUCAAAUCCUCUCGACCUCUAACAUCUGAAACUCCUACAGAGCCUUAUGUUCAUCGACAAUGCUUGUAUUAUUGUUGAUUCUUUUCCCGUUUCUCUUCUCUGCCUUAAUACUAGCAAGACGAGUACCUCACUAUUCCUCUACAUGAUUGAUCCUUGUGAAGCUUGCAGAACCAACAUUGUAUUUGUUUCUUUUUUUUUGCUGCAGAUUCUUAAGCAGAAGAUCCACACCAUUUUUGAUCAUGUCGGAGCUCUCUCCAACAAUGCCUAAGUGUGACCUUAGUCUUGUGAUUGUUGAAGAAGAUUUGGUAAGCCAAUUUCAUCACAUCAUCAUUAUUUUAGCCACUUGAUUUCUCUUUUGUUGCAGCCUCAAAGCUUUCUACAAAUUGGCAGACUUGUUCAUUGAUUUUGUGCCACCUUUGUUUACAGUGAGUGAUCUCUCUCUAUUCCAGACCAGCUAGCUGAGAACUUGCACUAUAAUAAGUUGUGAUGCGUUCCUAAAAAUAACUACAUUUUUUGCUCAUUUAACACAAUAACAUCCUUACUAGUGUUGAGCCAGGCACUGAUAACAUCCUCUAUGGGAGACCAUUUCCUUCUAGUAAAACGCUCCUUAGGUUUGUCUUCAUCUAGGGUUGGAACAUCAAUUUGUUGAAAAUUCUAAUACUGAUUAGGGUUUUUACUAGUUAAGAGAUUUAAAAAUAUUUUAAAGGAGUCCAUAACUUUAUGGAGAGAGGAAGGGUUAAGAGGUUUAAAAAUAGGAGAGAACAAAAGAGAGAAGAUUGGUGAACAUAAGAGAACGGAAGAUAGAGGAUGGGUUAACAGAAGAGAAUAGAAGAGAGAGGAUGGGUUAAGUGUGAAAGAGAUAGUAAGGGUUAAGUAGAAGUACAAGUAUUAAUGUGUGAAAGAGAGAAGGACUAACAUGCAUUUAUCAUAGAAACUAAAGUAUUUAUCACACCAAGUAACAGUCUUAGUCUAAGUAGUUGCAACUAACAAACAUUCAAGGGAAACAUUAAGAAAAUCAAUCCCAAUUUAAUUUAAUUCUAUAGAUAAACAAAAUCAAUCCUAGAUAAAGACUAUAACGUGAAACUUCAUAUCAAAUCAGAUACAAAAACAAAACGAAUCAACCCAUAGUAUGACACCCAUAUUUUAUAUCAUUGAAAUACUAAAAGAAAAUUUCAAAUCCCUAAUUAAAAGAACAAACAAAAUCAAACGAUCAAUUCAAAGAAUCGUACCUAUCUGUUUCUCGAUUCGGUGUAGAUAUGUUUCUCUUUUGUUUGCCCAUUGGAGAUAACGAGAAGAGAUUGAGAGAGAGAUCGAGAUAUAUUUCUUCUUAAUUUUCCUCUCCAAUCAAACAAGUGAACGAGAGAGAGAGAGAGAG